UAGUUUUUAAAUAAAGAAUCGCAAUGCGUUAUGUGAAAAUAAAUGAAUAUCUUCAUGCGGUCAGAUUAUUUGAGUGUUAAAAUACUAGAAAAGUGCUCAUUUACCACUUGUUCUACAACUUAACAUGGGGAACACAGCUAAAAAAAAAUCACUAUGUCAAAGGGAGGUAAUCCAUUUUUUCAUAUGAUUUUAUAGAUAUUAUGAGGAGAA
rnacentral:lncRNA from 1 species